AGUGAACGCUGGCGGCGUGCCUAAUACAUGCAAGUUGAACGGAGAUUAAGUAGCUUGCUAUUUAAUCUUAGUGGCGCACGGGUGAGUAAUAUAUAGCUAACUUGCCCAUUACUAAGGGACAACAGUUGGAAACGACUGCUAAUACCUUAUACUCCGUAUCUAUAUAAGUAGAUACGGGAAAGUUUUUCGGUAAUGGAUAGGGCUAUAUCGUAUCAGCUAGUUGGUAAGGUAAUGGCUUACCAAGGCUAUGACGCGUAACUGGUCUGAGAGGAUGAUCAGUCACACUGGAACUGAGACACGGUCCAGACUCCUACGGGAGGCAGCAGUAGGGAAUAUUGCUCAAUGGGGGAAACCCUGAAGCAGCAACGCCGCGUGGAGGAUGACACUUUUCGGAGCGUAAACUCCUUUUCUUGGGAAAGAAUUAUGACGGUACCCAAGGAAUAAGCACCGGCUAACUCCGUG
rnacentral:rRNA from 1 species